rnacentral:rRNA from 1 species
ACUGGGAGGCAUCUUCUGGUUGUUAAAGUCGGGGACCGCAAGGCCUGACGCUUUCUGAUGAACCCGCGGCCUAUCAGCUAGUUGGUGAGGUAACGGCCCACCAAGGCUAAGACGGGUAGCUGGUCUGAGAGGACGACCAGCCACACUGGAACUGAGACACGGUCCAGACACCUACGGGUGGCAGCAGUCGAGAAUUUUUCACAAUGGGCGAAAGCCUGAUGGAGCGACGCCGCGUGGGGGAUGAAUGGCUUCGGCCCGUAAACCCCUGUCAUUUGCGAUCAAACCUUGCCAUUUAACAGACGGCAAGCUGAUAGUAGCGAAAGAGGAAGGGACGGCUAACUCUGUGCCAGCAGCCGCGGUAAUACAGAGGUCCCAAGCGUUGUUCGGAUUCACUGGGCGUAAAGGGUGCGUAAGUGGCGAAGCAAAGUCGGACGUGAAAGCUUCGGAGCUCAACU